rnacentral:lncRNA from 1 species
GGUUAUUCAGGGAGUGUUUGGUUAAGAGUCUAGAUUUGUUCACACCCAGACAACUUUGGUUUGUGCUCGUGCGCAAUGAACAGAGAGCAUGAUAUGUCAUCUUCUUGUAUUACCAAUUUUCAGUUAAAAGAUUUAUUAAGCCAUAUAUCUGGUUGCAAAUUCGAUAUAAAUUCAAUUCAAUAUUUGCAAAUCAAGACUAGUGUUAAAUAGUUUGACACUAAAAAGC